rnacentral:rRNA from 1 species
CUGCAGCCCGAGUGGUGAUCGAUUUUAUUGAGCCUAAAGCGUCCGUAGCCGGACUAGUAAACCCUUGGGUAAAUUGGGCAGCUUAACUGUCCAACUUCCGAGGGGACUGCUAGUCUUGGGACCGGGAGAGGUCAGAGGUACUCCAGGGGUAGGGGCUAAAUCCUGUAAUCCUUGGGGGACCACCAGUGGCGAAGGCGUCUGACUAGAACGGAUCCGACGGUAAGGGACGAAACCCUGGGGCGCGAACCGGAUUAGAUACCCGCGUAGUCC